rnacentral:rRNA from 1 species
UUUCGGCUGACACUUACAGAUGGGCCCGCGGCGCAUUAGCUAGUUGGUGAGGUAACGGCUUCACCAAGGCGACGAUGCGUAGCCGACCUGAGAGGGUGAUCGGCCACACUGGGACUGAGACACGGCCCAGACUCCUACGGGAGGCAGCAGUAGGGAAUCUUCCACAAUGGACGAAAGUCUGAUGGAGCAACGCCGCGUGAGCGAUGAAGGCCUUCGGGUCGUAAAGCUCUGUUGUUAGGGAAGAACAAGUACCGGAGUAACUGCCGGUACCUUGGACGGUACCUAACCAGAAAGCCACGGCUAACUACGUGCCAGCAGCCGCGGUAAUACGUAGGUGGCAAGCGUUGUCCGGAAUUAUUGGGCGUAAAGCGCGCGCAGGCGGUCCUUUAAGUCUGAUGUGAAAGCCCACGGCUCAACCGUGGAGGGUCAUUGGAAACUGGGGGACUUGAGUGCAGAAGAGGAAAGCGGAAUUCCACGUGUAGCGGUGCAAUGCGUACAGAUGUGCAGGAACACCAGUGGCGAAGGCGGCUUUCUGGUCUGUAACUGACGCUGAGGCGCGAAAGCGUGGGGAGCAAACAGCAUUAGAUACCCUGGUAGUCCACGCCGUAACCGAUGAGUGCUAAGUGUUAGGGGGUUUCCGCCCCUUAGUGCUGCAGCUAACGCAUUAAGCACUCCGCCUGGGGAGUACGGCCGCAAGGCUGAAACUCAAAGGAAUUGACGGGGGCCCGCACAAGCGGUGGAGCAUGUGGUUUAAUUCGAAGCCACGCGAAGAACCUUACCAGGUCUUGACAUCCUCGUGACACUCCUAGAGAUAGGACGUUCCCUUCGGGGGACAGAGUGACAGGUGGUGCA